GCAUCAGCACCGCUCCCACCACUUCGCGGAGAGGCCGGCCUGGACAUGAAGAUGAGGGAGCCGUUGGGGGCGAGGGAGCCCCCCAUGGUGGACGGCACGCGCCGCGAAGCAGUUUAUAUUUAGACCCAAGCAUCGCAAAAGCAUGAUCGUUUUUGCAAGGCCCCUUUGAAGAAGAUCUGGUGAUACAGCUGCCAGCAUCCAAUUGUCUAAAUACAGAAAAAUUUGAAUCCCUCUCUCUUGAAUACUUCCCUGUGUGCAGCAAGUACAGAAGUGGAGGAAGGAUGUGUCUUUUUACCCAUCACCACUUAUGAUUGGGUUACUGCAAUUAGAUAUUGUUACAGAGAAAACCAUUUCAGCCAAUUUCAUUAAGGGAAAUAGCAAAUGUAGACAAAAGUGAAUGUAAAUGAAACUGCCUAAUAUGGAGUCAAGCCAUCAAGACCAGUAUUGUGUGUUGCAAUGGAAAGCCAUUGCAGUGGCUUUCCAGGGUCACAAGCAGAAGCUUUCCCCAACAUUUGCUAUAUCAGAUCCUUGUAACUGGAUGUCAGAAAUUGUGACUUUCUGGAUGAAAAGCAGGGGCGUAACUAGGUUGGAGUGGGCCCUGAGACAAGAUUCUUAAAUGCCCCCCCAUUAAAUGACUUCACAAGGAAGAUCGGGUAGGCGCUGGGUGGGGGAGAGCCUCUGAGGGGCCCCCCCAAGGGUGGACUCGCGGAGACAAACAACAAAGAAAUAGCGGGCGGCGCCAGAACGAGAAUUUUUUAAAAAAAUGACUUCACAAGGAAGAUCGGGUAGGCGCUGGGUGGGGGAGAGCCUCUGAGGGCCCCCCCCCAAGGCAGGGGCCCCCGAGACAACGGCCUCCCCCUGCCUAAUUGUAGUUACACCCCUGAUGAAAAGCAUGUGUUCUGCUCCUAUGCUUUGGCUCCUUAUACUGUAUUUAUGAUUGUUAAAAAAAGAGCAAAUUCAGUACUUACUACAGCCAAAAGAAAAACUUCUAGUUUGAAAAGGCUUAUAAAUCAAAACCAGUGAUAUCUUUAUAGAUUCCAGGGUCUAAUGCUUUAUGUAAUGAAAGCAACACAUUCUGUUAUACUUCUAUUUUGAAGCUAGUUAAUGGCAGUUUUGCUAUCUGAUUUCUAGCAGCUGAAUGAACUGCCUUCUUUGAAUAUUGCUGUCUCUCAAGUGAAACUGUGGUGCAUGAUCUAUGAUGCCUGUUUCACAUAUGGACAUGCAUGUAUGUCCAUAACGCAGUCCUAGGCACCUGAUCAUAGACUACUUGAAAGCAUUUGAUGAAACUGAGAUAACUAGCUUCCAAAGAGUGGUUGGCUCCCCAUUCUCAAGUGUAUCAUGAAAUGACUGUUGUACAUUACUUGUUUGUGAAUGCUAGAUCAUUUGGGAAUGCAUUUCUAGUUUAUGCUCAAGAGGCAAAACUUUUAUAUCACAAUGCAGUAGUUUAAGGUUCUUCAACUUUCUGUACAAGGUUCACUAAACAGGCAACAUAGCACUGGAUUCCCUUCCACAGAUAUAGUAUGAUGAACAAAUCAAUUCAAUACUGUAAGGAUUACUUAAAUUUGGUUAUGGUUUCUGAUUUGUUGUAAAAGCUUGAGGUUGUUUUGCUUAAAUGCAAGGCAACAAUUUCAUUUCAUGAAUUCUACUUGGAGGGAAGCUGGAAUUUAAAAAAAAUAAAAAUCCAAGUAAUAUAGAACAGCCAAAUGAAGUUAUCUCUAAGUUUUGUUUUCUUUGGGAUGAAAUGUAAAUGCAACAGAUUCCAAUCAUAUUUAAUAAAAUAACAAUCAAAAUA